GAUGAACGCUGGCGGCGUGCCUAAUACAUGCAAGUCGAGCGAACAGACGAGGAGCUUGCUCCUCUGACGUUAGCGGCGGACGGGUGAGUAACACGUGAAUAACCUACCUAUAAGACUGGGAUAACUUCGGGAAACCGGAGCUAAUACCGGAUAAUAUAUUGAACCGCAUGGUUCAAUAGUGAAAGACGGUUUUGCGGUCACUUAUAGAUGGAUCCGCGCCGCAUUAGCUAGUUGGUAAGGUAACGGCUUACCAAGGCAACGAUGCGUAGCCGACCUGAGAGGGUGAUCGGCCACCCUGGAACUGAGACACGGUCCAGACUCCUACGGGAGGCCGCAGUAGGGAAUCUUCCGCAAUGGGCGAAAGCCUGACGGAGCAACGCCGCGUGAGUGAUGAAGGUCUUCGGAUCGUAAAACUCUGUUAUUAGGGAAGAACAAAUGUGUAAGUAACUAUGCACGUCUUGACGGUACCUAAUCAGAAAGCCACGGCUAACUACGUG
rnacentral:rRNA from 1 species